UACGUAGGGCGCAAGCGUUAUCCGGAAUUAUUGGGCGUAAAGAGCUCGUAGGCGGUUUGUCGCGUCUGCCGUGAAAGUCCGGGGCCUCAACUCCGGAUCUGCGGUGGGUACGGGCAGACUAGAGUGAUGUAGGGGGAGACUGGAAUUCCUGGUGUAGCGGUGAAAUGCGCCAGAUAUCAGGAGGAACACCGAUGGCGAAGG
rnacentral:rRNA from 1 species